UUGGCAAGAACAAUAGCAGGGCAAAGAAAGAAAGCUAGCUAACUACUUUAGUUUUCUUUAUGGUGCUUAUGAAGAACAGCGUGCAGGCUAUGUGCUUGGUGGCUCUUGUUAUCAUGUCUACCGCUUUAUUGCCCACUCAUGUAGAAGGAAGAAUCAUGGAUACGAAGGAGAGGAGCCUCACAUCGUGCUUUCUUUGGAAACGCUGCACAAUCGAUCUAUGCCGGCAAAAUUGUUCAGCACGUGGAUAUGCUAAGAGUGAAAGCACCUGUGAUUCAUACAAAGAUAAUAAAUACUGCUGCUGCGCGACGGAUUGAAGGAUACAGCUGUGAUGGAUACUACACAUCAUAUCGUCCUACAUCUAAGUAUUUCUUGCAAAUAGCAAAUAAUGACUACCGAUGGAAUUGAUGUAGCAGAUUCAAUAAACUUUAAAUUUUACUAGUAACUGGUUAAUGUA